rnacentral:rRNA from 1 species
UAGCGAAAGCGAGUCUGAAUAGGGCGUUUAGUAUUUGGUCGUAGACCCGAAACCAGGUGAUCUACCCUUGGUCAGGUUGAAGUUCAGGUAACACUGAAUGGAGGACCGAACCGACUUACGUUGAAAAGUGAGCGGAUGAACUGAGGGUAGCGGAGAAAUUCCAAUCGAACCUGGAGAUAGCUGGUUCUCUCCGAAAUAGCUUUAGGGCUAGCCUCAAGUGAUGAUUAUUGGAGGUAGAGCACUGUUUGGACGAGGGGCCCCUCUCGGGUUACCGAAUUCAGACAAACUCCGAAUGCCAAUUAAUUUAACUUGGGAGUCAGAACAUGGGUGAUAAGGUCCGUGUUCGAAAGGGAAACAGCCCAGACCACCAGCUAAGGUCCCAAAAUAUAUGUUAAGUGGAAAAGGAUGUGGCGUUGCCCAGACAACUAGGAUGUUGGCUUAGAAGCAGCCAUCAUUUAAAGAGUGCGUAAUAGCUCACUAGUCGAGUGACACUGCGCCGAAAAUGUACCGGGGCUAAACAUAUUACCGAAGCUGUGGAUUGUCCUUUGGACAAUGGUAGGAGAGCGUUCUAAGGGCGUUGAAGCAUGAUCGUAAGGACAUGUGGAGCGCUUAGAAGUGAGAAUGCCGGUGUGAGUAGCGAAAGACGGGUGAGAAUCCCGUCCACCGAUUGACUAAGGUUUCCAGAGGAAGGCUCGUCCGCUCUGGGUUAGUCGGGUCCUAAGCUGAGGCCGACAGGCGUAGGCGAUGGAUAACAGGUUGAUAUUCCUGUACCACCUAUAAUCGUUUUAAUCGAUGGGGGGACGCAGUAGGAUAGGCGAAGCGUGCGAUUGGAUUGCACGUCUAAGCAGUAAGGCUGAGUAUUAGGCAAAUCCGGUACUCGUUAAGGCUGAGCUGUGAUGGGGAGAAGACAUUGUGUCUUCGAGUCGUUGAUUUCACACUGCCGAGAAAAGCCUCUAGAUAGAAAAUAGGUGCCCGUACCGCAAACCGACACAGGUAGUCAAGAUGAGAAUUCUAAGGUGAGCGAGCGAACUCUCGUUAAGGAACUCGGCAAAAUGACCCCGUAACUUCGGGAGAAGGGGUGCUCUUUAGGGUUAACGCCCAGAAGAGCCGCAGUGAAUAGGCCCAAGCGACUGUUUAUCAAAAACACAGGUCUCUGCUAAACCGUAAGGUGAUGUAUAGGGGCUGACGCCUGCCCGGUGCUGGAAGGUUAAGAGGAGUGGUUAGCUUCUGCGAAGCUACGAAUCGAAGCCCCAGUAAACGGCGGCCGUAACUAUAACGGUCCUAAGGUAGCGAAAUUCCUUGUCGGGUAAGUUCCGACCCGCACGAAAGGCGUAACGAUUUGGGCACUGUCUCAACGAGAGACUCGGUGAAAUCAUAGUACCUGUGAAGAUGCAGGUUACCCGCGACAGGACGGAAAGACCCCGUGGAGCUUUACUGUAGCCUGAUAUUGAAAUUCGGCACAGCUUGUACAGGAUAGGUAGGAGCCUUUGAAACGUGAGCGCUAGCUUACGUGGAGGCGCUGGUGGGAUACUACCCUAGCUGUGUUGGCUUUCUAACCCGCACCACUUAUCGUGGUGGGAGACAGUGUCAGGCGGGCAGUUUGACUGGGGCGGUCGCCUCCUAAAAGGUAACGGAGGCGCUCAAAGGUUCCCUCAGAAUGGUUGGAAAUCAUUCAUAGAGUGUAAAGGCAUAAGGGAGCUUGACUGCGAGACCUACAAGUCGAGCAGGGUCGAAAGACGGACUUAGUGAUCCGGUGGUUCCGCAUGGAAGGGCCAUCGCUCAACGGAUAAAAGCUACCCCGGGGAUAACAGGCUUAUCUCCCCCAAGAGUUCACAUCGACGGGGAGGUUUGGCACCUCGAUGUCGGCUCAUCGCAUCCUGGGGCUGUAGUCGGUCCCAAGGGUUGGGCUGUUCGCCCAUUAAAGCGGUACGCGAGCUGGGUUCAGAACGUCGUGAGACAGUUCGGUCCCUAUCCGUCGUGGGCGUAGGAAAUUUGAGAGGAGCUGUCCUUAGUACGAGAGGACCGGGAUGGACAUACCUCUGGUGUACCAGUUGUCGUGCCAACGGCAUAGCUGGGUAGCUAUGUGUGGACGGGAUAAGUGCUGAAAGCAUCUAAGCAUGAAGCCCCCCUCAAGAUGAGAUUUCCCAACUUCGGUUAUAAGAUCCCUCAAAGAUGAUGAGGUUAAUAGGUUCGAGGUGGAAGCAUGGUGACAUGUGGAGCUGACGAAUACUAAUCGAUCGAAGACUUAAUCAA